rnacentral:rRNA from 1 species
CCCUUAGAUGUUCUGGGCCGCACGCGUGCUACACUGACCGGUGCAACAAGUUUCUUUCCUUGGCUCGAUAGGCCUGGGUAAUCUUUGAACACCGGUCGUGAUGGGGAUAGAUCCUUGCAAUUUUUGAUCUUCAACGAGGAAUGCCUAGUAAGCGCAAGUCAUCAGCUUGCGUUGAUUACGUCCCUGCCCUUUGUACACACCGCCCGUCGCUCCUACCGAUUGAAUGGUCCGGUGAAGCGUUCGGACCGUGGCCUUUGGACGGUUCGCCGUCUGUUGGCUGCGGGAAGUUCGUUAAACCUUAUCAUUUAGAGGAAGGAGAAGUCGUAACA